UUAAGUUCAGCGGGUAUUCCUACCUGAUCCGAGGUCAACCAUUGAAAAUUGGGGGUUUUACGGCGUGGCCGCGUCGCGCUCCAGUGCGAGGUAUAGUACUACGCAAGGGAUUGCGGCGAGGCCGCCACUGCAUUUAGGGGACGGCCGCAGGGUAGCGGCCGAGCCCCAACACCAGGCCCGCCCCCGGAAGGGGGGCCUGA
rnacentral:misc_RNA from 1 species